UCGGUCUGACGCGACCCGUAAUGGGGGCAGCCUGCAGUUAAUUGUGUCUGAACCAGAAUAUCCAGAGAUGUCUAUUUGGAGGAAGAUCCAGGCCAUCUGGGUACGGUGACAUUAUCAACCAAGUCACCUUAUCUGACCACUCAUCCAUUUCACAUCUUACAACCUGCAUGGGUUGCUGGGGCCCAACUCUAACUGGAUUAUCCUCCAAUUUGUUGAAUGGCCAUGUGGACGGAGGUGGUGAGCUUCUGGUUGUGCACGUUGACCACCGCCCCCCGCAGCAGGAAGAGGCUGAUCAGGUCAGUUUGUUGGUGCAGCACGGCCAUGUGGAGGGGAGAAUAGCCAUUGCUGGACUGCGUGUUCACAGACAACUCGCUGGAUGACCGGGGGCUACUCUGGAACCAAAGUUUACAGAGGUCAAGUUGGAUAGAAAACAUGUUUUCUGUACUGGUUGAAGCAAAUAAAUUGCUAUAUUAA